rnacentral:rRNA from 1 species
AGUGAACGCUGGCGGUAGGCCUAACACAUGCAAGUCGAACGGCAGCACAGUAAGAGCUUGCUCUUACGGGUGGCGAGUGGCGGACGGGUGAGGAAUACAUCGGAAUCUACUUUUUCUGGGGGAACAACGUGGGAAAAGUGCUGCUAACGCCUAAUAUGUCGAACGGCAGAAAGCAGGGGUGCUUGGCGCUUUUGCUGUCUGAUAUAGAGGGAUCCGUGCCGGAUUAGCUAGUUGGUAAGGUAACGGCCCACCAAGGCUACGAUCCGUAGCUGAUCUGAGAGGAUGAUCAGCCACACUGGAACUGAGACACGGUCCAGACUCCUACGGGAGGCAGCAGUGGGGAAUAUUGGACAAUGGGCGCAAGCCUGAUCCAGCCAUACCGCGUGGGUGAAGAAGGCCUUCGGGUCGUAAAGCCCUGUUGUUGGGAAAGAAAAGCAGCAGGUUUAUACCCCGCUGUUCUGACGGUACCCAAAGAAUAAGCACCGGCUAACUUCGUG